rnacentral:rRNA from 1 species
UACGGGAGAUGCAAGCGUUAUCCGGAAUUAUUGGGCGUAAAGCGUCCGCAGGCGGCCAGUUAAGUCCGCUGUCAAAGCCCGCAGCUUAACUGCGGAGAGGCAGUGGAAACUAACUGGCUAGAGUGCGGUAGGGGUAGGGGGAAUUCCCGGUGUAGCGGUGAAAUGCGUAGAUAUCGGGAAGAACACCAGCGGCGAAAGCGCCCUACUGGGCCGUAACUGACUAUCAUGGACGAAAGCUAGGGGAGCGAAAGGG